CGUAGCCGCGGGAAUACGUAGGGCGCAAGCGUUAUCCGGAAUUAUUGGGCGUAAAGAGCUCGUAGGCGGUUUGUCGCGUCUGCCGUGAAAGUCCGGGGCUCAACCCCGGAUCUGCGGUGGGUACGGGCAGACUAGAGUGAUGUAGGGGAGACUGGAAUUCCUGGUGUAGCGGUGAAAUGCGCAGAUAUCAGGAGGAACACCGAUGGCGAAGGCAGGUCUCUGGGCAUUAACUGACGCUGAUGCACGAAAGCUAGGGGAGCAAACAGGAUUAGAUACCCCGGUAGUCCCUGUCUCUUAUACA
rnacentral:rRNA from 1 species